rnacentral:tRNA from 1 species
GGCGACGUGGCCGAGAAGUUAGGCAGAGGUCUGCAAAACCUUUCACAGCGGUGCAAAUCCGCUCGUCGCCU